rnacentral:rRNA from 1 species
GGUUAAGCGACUAAGCGUACACGGUGGAUGCCCUGGCAGUCAGAGGCGAUGAAGGACGUGCUAAUCUGCGAAAAGCGCCGGCGAGGUGAUAUGAACCUUUGACCCGGCGAUGUCCGAAUGGGGAAACCCAGUGCAAUUCGUUGCACUAUCGUUAACUGAAUACAUAGGUUAACGAGGCGAACCGGGGGAACUGAAACAUCUAAGUACCCCGAGGAAAAGAAAUCAACCGAGAUUCCCCCAGUAGCGGCGAGCGAACGGGGAGCAGCCCGGAGUCUGAAUCAGCUUGUGUGUUAGUGGAACGGUCUGGAAAGUCCGACGGUACAGGGUGAUAGUCCCGUACACGAAAGCACACAUGCUGUGAACUCGAAGAGUAGGGCGGGACACGUGGUAUCCUGUCUGAAUAUGGGGGGACCAUCCUCCAAGGCUAAAUACUCCUGACUGACCGAUAGUGAACCAGUACCGUGAGGGAAAGGCGAAAAGAACCCCGGCGAGGGGAGUGAAAAAGAACCUGAAACCGUGUACGUACAAGCAGUGGAAGCCUCUUUAUGGGGUGACUGCGUACCUUUUGUAUAAUGGGUCAGCGACUUAUAUUCUGUAGCAAGGUUAACCGUAUAGGGGAGCCGAAGGGAAACCGAGUCUUAACUGGGCGUUAAGUUGCAGGGUAUAGACCCGAAACCCGGUGAUCUAGCCAUGGGCAGGUUGAAGGUUGGGUAACACUAACUGGAGGACCGAACCGACUAAUGUUGAAAAAUUAGCGGAUGACCUGUGGCUGGGGGUGAAAGGCCAAUCAAACCGGGAGAUAGCUGGUUCUCCCCGAAAGCUAUUUAGGUAGCGCCUCGUGAACUCAUCUUCGGGGGUAGAGCACUGUUUCGGCUAGGGGGCCAUCCCGGCUUACCAACCCGAUGCAAACUACGAAUACCGAAGAAUGUUAUCACGGGAGACACACGGCGGGUGCUAACGUCCGUCGUGAAGAGGGAAACAACCCAGACCGCCAGCUAAGGUCCCAAAGUCAUGGUUAAGUGGGAAACGAUGUGGGAAGGCACAGACAGCCAGGAUGUUGGCUUAGAAGCAGCCAUCAUUUAAAGAAAGCGUAAUAGCUCACUGGUCGAGUCGGCCUGCGCGGAAGAUGUAACGGGGCUAAACCAUGCACCGAAGCUGCGGCAGCGAC